AUUUUUGUGCAGAGGUGAUAUUGCAGCUAAUGAGAUUUUAAUCAAAGCACAAUUAUUGCUGAUUGAAAGUUGUCAUCAGC
rfam:Pongo abelii chromosome X.